UCGAGAAUCUUCCGCAAUGGGCGCAAGCCUGACGGAGCGACGCCGCGUGUGGGAUGAAGGCCUUCGGGUUGUAAACCACUGUCAGUGGGGAGCAAAUGGAUAGGGGUUCUCCCCUAUUCUUGAGCGAUCCGCAGAGGAAGCACAGGCUAAUUCCGUGCCAGCAGCCGCGGUAAUACGGAAUGUGCAAACGUUAUUCGGAAUCACUGGGCUUAAAGAGUCCGUAGGCGGCAUGUUAGGUGAGGUGUGAAAUCCCCCGGCUCAACCGAGGAAUUGCGCUUCAAACCGGCGUGCUUGAGGAAGAUAGAGGUGGGCGGAACUGAUGGUGGAGCGGUGAAAUGCGUUGAUAUCAUCAGGAACACCGGAGGCGAAGGCGGCCCACUGGGUCUUUUCUGACGCUGAGGGACGAAAGCUAGGGGAGCGAACGGG
rnacentral:rRNA from 1 species